CGGUUAACUUACUGCUGCCCUC
rnacentral:miRNA from 17 species